GGAUAACUCCGGGAAACCGGGGCUAAUACCGGAUGGUUGUUUGAACCGCAUGGUUCAAACAUAAAAGGUGGCUUCGGCUACCACUUACAGAUGGACCCGCGGCGCAUUGCUAGUUGGUGAGGUAACGGCUCACCAAGGCAACGAUGCGUAGCCGACCUGAGAGGGUGAUCGGCCACACUGGGACUGAGACACGGCCCAGACUCCUACGGGAGGCAGCAGUAGGGAAUCUUCCGCAAUGGACGAAAGUCUGACGGAGCAACGCCGCGUGAGUGAUGAAGGUUUUCGGAUCGUAAAGCUCUGUUGUUAGGGAAGAACAAGUACCGUUCGAAUAGGGCGGUACCUUGACGGUACCUAACCAGAAAGCCACGGCUAACUACGUGCCAGCAGCCGCGGUAAUACGUAGUGGCAAGCGUUGUCCGGAAUUAUUGGGCGUAAAGGGCUCGCAGGCGGUUUCUUAAGUCUGAUGUGAAAGCCCCCGGCUCAACGGGGAGGGUCAUUGGAAACUGGGGAACUGAGGCAGAAGAGGAGAGUGGAAUUCCACGUGUAGCGGUGAAAUGCGUAGAGAUGUGGAGGAACACCAGUGGCGAAGGCGACUCUCUGGUCUGUAACUGACGCUGAGGAGCGAAAGCGUGGGGAGCGAACAGGAUUAGAUACCCUGGUAGUCCACGCCGUAAACGAUGAGUGCUAAGUGUUAGGGGGUUUCCGCCCCUUAGUGCUGCAGCUAACGCA
rnacentral:rRNA from 1 species